rnacentral:tRNA from 1 species
UCCCUGAUAGCUCAGUUGGUAGAGCGCCGCACUGUUAAUGCGGUUGUCGCUGGUUCGAUCCCAGCUCGGGGAGCCA